GACUCUGCCACCAAGUUAAAUUGAGACGAUACGGAGAAAAUUAGCACGACAUGUACACAAGAAUGACAAGCAGAAACUGAGAACAAUAUAAUAAUUUA